GUUUUAUUUAUUUUGAAAAUUAGGGCUGAUAAUUAAGUCCUUUUUAAUCUCAAACGUCUGUAUUUUAACAUACAAGUAAUUACUGGCUAAAAUUCCCAAUUGACAGUUUGCCAUAAAAAUGGACACUUUUCACAGAGCUAGCCCCUAGUUCUAGCACAUGUCUAAGUCUUUUAGAACAAUUACUGGCUUAAUAUUCUUAUUUCACUAAGUUAUUACUAUUUUGAAGUUAUAGAUGUUAUAAAUACUGUUUAUGUUGUUUAUUUCACAAAAACUGUGAAACCAUUUAUUUUCGUCAGCUCGAAAUUGUGUGUUAAAGAAAAAUGACUAUUUCAUCAGCACUUCAAUUUAUUAAUUUAUGAUUAAACAAAAUUAACAAAAUUGUGUCAGUAAAUACCCGGUUCGUUUGUAGUACAUUUCCGCGAUAAAUUUCGGUGGGAAAAAGGGGAAAACCCUUGGGAGUAACUUGCAGGAGGUAGACUAUGUUAAGCACAUGUAAAUUAACUCUUUUAUUAUCAGGUUAUUUUUUUUUUUGUUAUUGUUCGCUGUAGUUACUUGCCCUUUCUUACUGUAUGCCAUUAACAAGUUCAUUGUUAUAAAUUAAGCUGAUUGGUAGGACUGAAUAACUGUUUACAUACCAUUUUUAUGCCCCCCUUCGAAGAAGUGGGGGUAUAUUGCUUUGCUCAUGUCGGUCGGUCUGUCUGUCUGUCGGUCUGUCCACCAGGUGGUUGUCAGACGAUAACUCAAGAACGCUUGGGCCUAGGAUCAUGAAACUUCAUAGGUACAUUGAUCAUGACUCGCAGAUGACCCCUAUUGAUUUUGAGGUCAUUAGGUCAAAGGUCAAGGUCACGGUGACCCGAAAUAGUAAAAUGGUUUUUGAAUGAUAACUCAAGAACGCAUACGCCUAGGAUCAUGAAACUUCAUAGGUACAUUGAUCAUGACUUGCAGAUGACCCCUAUUGAUUUUGAGGUCACAAGGUCAAAGGUCAAGGUCACGGUCACCCGAAAUAGUAAAAUGAUUUUCGGAUGAUGACUCAAGAACGCUUUUGCCUAGGAUCAUGACACUUCAUAGGUACAUUAAUCGUGACAGGCAGAUGACCCCUAUUGAUUUUCAGGUCACUAGGUCAAAGGUCAAGGUCACAGUGACAAAAAUCGUAUUCACACAAUGGCUGCCACUACAACGGAAAGCCCGUAUGGGGGGCAUGCAUGUUUUACAAACAGCCCUUGUUAUUUAUUUUUUUCAGGAUAAUGACAUUUAUUUAGUAUACCACUGUGUCAAAUUGUCAACUUGUUAUGUUCAGCGUUGUUUAUAAAUAUACUUGCUAAUGUGCAAUGCAUUGUUUACAGUAAAGUUGGCAGACAAUAGUGUUGAGCUGUCUCAAAUUGCAGACUUUAAAUGUAACAAUAUUAAAUAGUGAUUAUAGGCAGUUAAUGUGUUAUCCAGAUGUCAGAGGAAUAUUCUGUUAAGUUUGGAAGAUGGGAUACAGUCAUAAAAAAGUGUAUUCAUUUCAUGCAUUGUAAUUGUUUCAUUUGUUGAUGUUAUGUGUAGUUGUUCUUGAACUUGUGUCCAAUGUAUUAUUUCACUCAUGUAAAUAAUCAUAGUUAUAACAAAUACUUAUGUGCGCUAUACUAUUUAAUGAUGUAACUCCGUUGGUGGCUCAAGUGAGACUGGCUUAUCAGCUCACUGUACAGUAUAAUAGUCAGAUUAUUCAAGCAUGCAGCUAUCUAUUGUCUGUAUCUAGUUACAUUAUGCAACAGUAAUAUUGAACAUUCAUAUUCACAAAAUACAUUUCAUAAGGGACUAACGUCUUAAAUUUAUAGUUAGUUUAUGUUGAAUACCCCCAUCUAAAGUCUGAAAUUGGGAAAGUAUUGAAUACUCUUUCGUGAAUAUGGCAAUAUGAACAAUUGAAAUAGUUGUAAGCUAGUAAUACAAGUUAUUGAAUUGUAUCAUACAUGUAGAUAAAUCUUUUAUACAUACAUUUUCUGGCCAAUAUGUAUCUGUGCUUUAAAUUGUGUAUUGUUAUUGGUUUGAUAGUGUUACAGAUCGUGUUGUGAAUAAAAUGUAAAUAUAAUUUUAUUUUUAACCGAUUAAAUUGUAUUGUUUGCAUUUUAUUAAAUGUCUGACAUUUCUUCAUCUUUAUAUUAAAAAUGUUGAUUUCUUCUCUCGAUUUUGAAUUAAAACACUUAAAUGUAAAGUUAUCAAGAACAACAAAUAAAAAACUGUUGAGAUUUAGAGAUGAUGUGUUUGUUCACAAAGUUGCAUUCUGUGAUUUUAAAAAAGUACUGAGGAUACUUUAUAGAAAUACUGAAGAUACUUAAAUAAAACUUAUUAUACUUAGUGCAAAGUGAGGAGUUAAGAAUGAUCCAAUUAUGUUUACACCUGCCCAGCCAUAAACAAAUGAGCCUCCCUCAGGGAAAAUGGAGCUAAAUGCAUGUGCAUAAAGUUUCAUGUGUCAGGGAUAAACUUUCCGCCUAAUCUGAAUUGUAGAGAAUUCCAUUGAGGUGGAAAGUGUCGUCCCUGAACAGGCUAAUCUGGGAUGACACUUUCCGCUUUAACUGAAUUUCAGUAUAGAAGAGAAUUCCAUAAAAAGGGAAAGUGUCGUGGCAGCACAGGCAAAUCUAGGACCACAUUGUACGCCAUGCGUAAGGCCCUGCUUUCCCAGAGAGUGCUUCUGUCAUUAUCACUAUAGAUGCUAUUUUCAUAUAGGUACCAUUGACAGAGUUUUAAACACAUUUUGAGCUGGACUAUAUAUAUAUAGUGGAGCUAUCCUACUCACCCCGGCGUCGGCGUUAACAUUGGACGAUGUUAAAGUUUGCGCACCACCUCAAAUAUUUUCAAUGUCCCUUGAAAUAGUGCUUUUAUAUUUUGCACACUUCUUUACCAACAUGACCCCAAUCUAAAAACAAGAGCAGACAAUUGUAUCAAGCAUUUUGUAAGAAUUAUGACCCUUUUUUCAUUUAAAAUAUGCAUAUUAUUAAUAAAUCUAUGUAAAAGUU